rnacentral:rRNA from 1 species
UACGGAGGGGGCUAGCGUUGUUCGGAAUUACUGGGCGUAAAGCGCGCGCAGGCGGAUCUGCAAGUCGGGGGUGAAAUCCCGAGGCUCAACCUCGGAACUGCCUUCGAUACUGCGGGUCUCGAGUCCGGGAGAGGUGAGUGGAAUUCCUAGUGUAGAGGUGAAAUUCGUAGAUAUUAGGAAGAACACCAGUGGCGAAGGCGGCUCACUGGCCCGGUACUGACGCUGAGGCGCGAAAGCGUGGGGAGCAAACAGG